GAUGAACGCUGGCGGCGUGCUUAACACAUGCAAGUCGAACGGAAAGGCCAGUGCUUGCACUGGUGCUCGAGUGGCGAACGGGUGAGUAACACGUGGGUGAUCUGCCCUGCACUUUGGGAUAAGCCUGGGAAACUGGGUCUAAUACCAGAUAGGACCAUGCUUUGGAUGGUGUGGUGGAAAGUUUUUUCGGUGUGGGAUGAGCUUGCGGCCUAUCAGCUUGUUGGUGGGGGAAUGGCCUACCAAGGCGUCGACGGGUAGCCGGCCUGAGAGGGUGUACGGCGACAUUGGGACUGCGAUACGGCCCAGACUCCUACGGGAGGCAGCAGUGGAGAAUAUUGCACAAUGGGCGCAAGCCUGAUGCGGCGACGCCGCGUGGGGGAUGACGGGCUUCGGGUUGUAAACUCCUUUCGCAACUGACGAAGCUUUUUGUGACGGUAGGUUGAGAAGAAGCACCGGCUAACUACGUG
rnacentral:rRNA from 1 species